AUACAACCAAUAGUAGUUACAUUACAAAGCUGUGAGUGAUUUGCUUGUAUUUUUUUUUUUUUUAGAAUGUGGAUUCAAUGAUAUCACUUAAAGGAAAAUCUAAUUAUAAUCAUAUUUUAUUGAACAUACUAUUGUGUCAGGAGCUGUGCGAAGCCCUCUCUCUACAUGCAUGAUCAUAUUUAAUCCAGGCAAUGUUUUCUGGAAACACGUGUUUAGUAUUUAGAGUUUGCCCAAGAAAAGAGCGUGAAGAGGCCAUCAUUUGUCUAUGAGCAACAGCUGGAGGAAGCUGGGAUCCAAGCUUUCGAGCCCACUUUCAGCUAUGGAGCAGGAGACGGAUAAAGAGUGGCCAUGCCAGUCUGCAUUCCCAACAGCAAUGAACAAGAGUUCCUGUUCCUCUCCAUCCUCUCCUGCGUUUGGCAUCAUCAAUAUUCUGAAUUUUGGCCAUUCUAGCAGGACCAAGUUGCCGAAAUAAUUCUCCUGAAGCAUCCAGUACAAACACAACCUUACCAAAACCUUGAUUUUAGACUUCUGAUCUCCAAAACAGUUCUGAACUUAAGCAUCAGUAAUCCAAGAUGAGGAUCCAAGAAAUAAUGUACCAACAAUUACCUGCCAUAGUCGCCUCAUAUAAGUGAGUGAACACUGAGGAUAUGGGCAUUCUAAACACAGAUGAGAAAACCUGAGAAGCUGUGUGAACUAACCAAAGUGAAAGUUAGUAAAUAAUGAAAACAGGAUUACAACACAGGAAGUUGGGUUUCCACAGCCUGUUCUAUGCUAUCAGUUCUACUGAGAGUUACAGCACAAGCAGAGGAGAGUAAGAAAGAGAGGGACAGAGGAUCUGAAGCAGGCUCUGUGCGGACAGCAGUGAGCUAGAUGUGGGGCUUGAACUCACCAAUCACAAGAUCAUGCAUGACCUGAGACAAAGUCAGACACUCAACUGACUGAGCCACCCAGGUACCCUAGGAGCUUAUCUUUUUAACUGAUCAAUUUUGACUCUUUAAAUCUCCAUUAGAAGAAACUAACAAACUUCUGUUCUUCAAAAGUCAGUGCACUUUGGUAUUUCCAAGUUUCAAGUCAACUCUCAAAGCCACAUGGGAAUAAUUUCUAUAUCUGUUCAUGCUUACAGUGGAGUAAAGCAUUUAAACAUUUUUUGUCUUCAGUUUAUUUCCAAAUCUCUAACACAAAAUUUUUUUUACUUUUCUUUGUCACAAAUUUUGCACUGUUCAUUUUAAAUGCCUCAGGCAAUUAUUUGGCAAUUUAAUGCCAAACUUUUAUUCACUUUUUCUCUAAUAGCUUAUUUUAUAUAAAUGUAAAUCAUGACCUAAUCCUUAAAACUGAUAUUUAAGCAAGUAAACAAUGAAUAAAAUUGUUUAUUUGCAAAAUAUUAUUUGUCUAGAAUUCCAGUUGAAAUCAAUAAAACCAUGUAUUAUUUUCAUCUAUAUAAUUUUAUUUUCAAAGAUAAUUUUUACUUAAUACAGUUUUAUAAGUAAUUCAAUAAAAACUUAGUGAAAAGCCCAUUAUUUGUCAUACACAGGCUCGGGGCUGAGAAUACAGAAAUGACAAAAUAUAACCCUAAUCUGGAAGAAUCUAGGACUACUUUAAAUGUAGUAGUGAAGCAAAAUGGACAAGAAUUAACUGAAUGGGAGAUAAAACAAGAAAUGCAUAGUAUUAGGAAACCAUAUAUAUUUCUGUUCAAAUGUGUGGAAAGAAUCUUAUGAGCAAUCUUUAAAAAUAAUAAAUUCCUAGUGGAAACUGUACUAGGGCAUUAAUUCUUUCAGAGCAUUAAGUUUAGUCAAUGCUCAUGUAUGCUAAUCCUCCCAUGCUAUUUAAAUAGCUUAUAUAAAUGUGACCUGGAUCAUUCAUGGAAUUACCCUUUUUAUCUGUUAUUUCUAUUUGUCAGCUCUCAAGACACUUAAGUAGAACUUUGGUUUUAACAUGUGUACAGAUAGAUACACACACAUACAUAUAUGUAUCACACAUAACACAUGCACACAAGCAUGAAGACACAUAUUUUUAGGUCCUGAGAUUUGAUUUUGUAGGUUUAAACAAGAUAGAAUGAAUAAAAACAAACCAGACUGCAGUUUCGGUUGUAAUCGCACAGACACCCAUUAUAAUUAACUUACACAGAGAUAGAGACGGUGGUUCCCUUUGGUACCUAUGUAAAUCAUGCAAAAAUUAGCUAUGAUAAUAAAAAUCUAUUUCUUACCAUUCAUAUGUAAAUUUAAAAUCAAGGGUUUAAUUAGAAAUCAUUUUAAUAUAAAGCAAAUAUUGCUGGCUUUGAGUACUUUCUAGAGAAUUAAUAUUUAGAAAUAGCCUGAAAGCAAGUACCAAGCUGCUUUUUAAUUAAAUGGAGGAGCUAAAGAAAGGAGUUUGAAAGCAUCAUGUUCAAAAACGACCUCAUGAGAUAAAUUGUUGGUAAUCUUGGAUGAGUAAGUUAAAGGAGGAAAAUGUCAACUAAUGUAACAAUAUAUAAAAACAUGCAAGCUUUCUUACUUUCUUCACUACUACCCGAAAGUACAUAAUUCAAAAUAAAAUAACUGACACAAUAGAAUAAUACCUAGAAGAGCUUAUUAUUUUGAUUGACUGUUUUAAAAAGGUAACAAGGAAAAAAUUAAAGUUUCAAUGUAAAAUCAGAUGCAUGACUAAUUAUUGUACUGGCUAUGAAUAACAUGUGUUUGGACAUUAUAUUUGCAAAAUAUGUAAAUAUAUCUGGAUGUAAACAAGAAAUAUACAGUUGCUAAUUUAAAUAAUUUUAAUAAAAUUUCCUAAAUUUGGGGUA